GAUUGCCUACGGGGGGCAGCAGUGAGGAAUAUUGGUCAAUGGGCGAGAGCCUGAACCAGCCAAGUCGCGUGAGGGAGUACUGCCCUAUGGGUUGUAAACCUCUUUUGUCGGGGAGCAAAAGCCGGACGUGUCCGGCUGUGAGAGUACCCGAAGAAAAAGCAUCGGCUAACUCCGUGCCAGCAGCCGCGGUAAUACGGAGGAUGCGAGCGUUAUCCGGAAUUACUGGGUGUAAAGGGAGCGUAGACGGUGAUGCAAGUCUGGAGUGAAAGGCGGGGGCCCAACCCCCGGACUGCUCUGGAAACUGU
rnacentral:rRNA from 1 species